rnacentral:rRNA from 1 species
UACAGAGGGUGCAAGCGUUGUUCGGAAUUAUUGGGCGUAAAGGGCGCGUAGGCGGUGCGGUAAGUCUGUUGUGAAAUCUCUGGGCUCAACUCAGAGUCUGCAACGGAAACUGCCGUGCUUGAGUAUGGGAGAGGUGAGUGGAAUCCCGGUGUAGCGGUGAAAUGCGUAGAUAUCGGGAGGAACACCUGUGGCGAAAGCGGCU